rnacentral:rRNA from 1 species
GACGAGCUCUCCAAACGUUAUUCGGUAUCACUGGGCUUAAAGAGUUCGUAGGCGGUCCGAUAAGUCCCGUGUGAAAUCCCUCGGCUCAACUGAGGAAUGGCACGGGAAACUGACGGGCUUGAGUUCGGGAGAGGGAAGCGGAAUUCCGGGUGUAGCGGUGAAAUGCGUAGAUAUCCGGAGGAACACCGGUGGCGAAGGCGGCUUCCUGGACCGACACUGACGCUGAGGCGCGAAAGCUAGGGGAGCAAACGGG